UGAACGCUAGCGGCAGGCUUAACACAUGCAAGUCGAGGGCAGCAUGAUGAAACUUCGGUUCAUUGAUGGCGACCGGCGCAAGGGGUGCGUAACGCGUGAGCAACUUGCCCUUAUCAGGGGGAUAACCGGUGGAAACGCCGACUAAUACCCCAUAGCAUCACUUUAAGGCAUCUUUUAGUGAUUAAAGAAUUUCGGAAACGGAUAGGCUCGCGUGACAUUAGCUAGAUGGCGGGGUAACGGCCCACCAUGGGCGACGAUGUCUAGGGGUUCUGAGAGGAAGGUCCCCCACACUGGAACUGAGACACGGACCAGACUCCUACGGGAGGCAGCAGUGAGGAAUAUUGGACAAUGGAUGGAAAUCUGAUCCAGCCAUGCCGCGUGCAGGAUGACGGCCCUAUGGGUCUUAAACUGCUUUUGUAUGGGAGCAAUAAGCUUUACGCGUAGAGCGAUGAGAGUACCAUACGAAUAAGCAUCGGCUAACUCCGUG
rnacentral:rRNA from 1 species